CCUACGGGGGGCAGCAGUGGGGAAUAUUGGACAAUGGGGGCAACCCUGAUCCAGCCAUGCCGCGUGUGUGAAGAAGGCCCUCGGGUUGUAAAGCACUUUCAGUGAGGAAGAACGCCUGGUGGUUAAUACCCAUCAGGAAAGACAUCACUCACAGAAGAAGCACCGGCUAACUCCGUGCCAGCAGCCGCGGUAAUACGGAGGGUGCGAGCGUUAAUCGGAAUUACUGGGCGUAAAGCGCGCGUAGGUGGCUUGAUAAGCCGGUUGUGAAAGCCCCGGGCUCAACCUGGGAACGGCAUCCGGAACUGUCAAGCUAGAGUGCAGGAGAGGAAGGUAGAAUUCCCGGUGUAGCGGUGAAAUGCGUAGAGAUCGGGAGGAAUACCAGUGGCGAAGGCGGCCUUCUGGACUGACACUGACACCGAGGUGCGAAAGCGUGGGUAGCAAACAGGAUUAGAUACCCUGGUAGUC
rnacentral:rRNA from 1 species